CGGCGACUCCCCGAGGCCCGAGCUGGCGAGCUCUGCUGUCCGCCUGUCCGCGACUGGCGACUCCGCUCCCGCUCGGCCGCUGCCCGCUCCGAACCCUAGCCGAGUAGCCGCCUGACCGCCUCCCCGCUGCCGCGCCGCGCCGCCGCCCGUCAUCCACUCGUGACUCGUCCGCCCCUGGUAACCGCGCGGGUUGGCGUACGUUGCUGACUGACGGGCUCCCUGUUCUGCCGGCGCGGCGGGCGGCCUCCGUGUGGCUGGACUGGACCAGCGGCGCUGCGGGUGUGCGCGGACGGCGGCGCCAACCGCGUCUUCGACGGCGUGCUGGAGCUGCUCCCAGGCCAAGACGUCGGUGAGGUCCGCGCGAGGCAGACCACUGUUUGUUGGUUCCUCAAUUCUUCACCUAGCACUUCGGUUGGCAGUUUCAGUUGUCAAGGUACUUAGUACUUACCACUUACUCAAUCCUCAAUGGACUCCGGCAGCGGCAGCAACAGAAAGGGAAAAAGAAAAGCAAUAGGAUAUGGAAGAGGAUCAAAAUAUUGUUGAGGCUAUGUCUUUGGUCAUUGAUGUAAAAGCACGUUUGGUCAACUUGAGAAGUGAAGGUUAUGAGCCAUUACUUGAUGAAGCCAAAGAAUUUCGCUGUGAGAAUGAUAUCCCAAUACCAAAUAUGGAAGAUAAUGUACCAAGAUUUGGUCGAUCGAGAAAAGGAGGGAGAAACAAUAUCACUCAAGAUCAUUACUUUAUCGGUAUAACUAAUAAAUUUAUCGUUAUUUUGGUUCCGUUGUUGAUUUGAUGUGUAAUCUACAUGUUUUUCUUCAUUUAAGGUACUUCUAAACGAUGGUCUUGUUGUGAACUUUUAUUUCCGUACAAUAUAUGAAUGUAGUCUAGAAAUACAUCGCCACACCUAAAUUUUUGGUUGUCCUCCGCCACUGAUCCUAUCAUUGUAUACCAGGUAAGCAUAUGUAAUAACUCAUUGUACUUGUGAACUUUUAAAUCCUGAUAUUUUUAUUUUUCAGAAAUAAGUGUAGGUGAUGGAAACUACACACUGUUCUGGUCUGAUCGAUGGCUCAUGGGCUGCUCAAUUGUUGAAAUCGCACCUGUGGUUGUUGAUGCUGUGCCACUAAAAAUUCGCAAGCAACGCACAGUUGCACUUGCACAGGCCUUGCAAAAUCAAUCUUGGCCCACUGAUAUUCAAGGAGGCCUCUCGCCGAUUGGACUGUGUGAGUAUCUCCAGCUGUGGGAUAUGCUGCUGGACACGACCCUCUCCCAGGAUGAGGAUGUGCACAUCUGGCGAUUGGAUAGCUCUGGUAUUUUCUCCUCUAAAUCAGCUUAUCGUGCCUUCUUUAAUGGAGCAAUUACUUUUGAACAUGGGCGGCGGUUGUGGAAAUCAUGGGCUCCUGCGAAAUGCAAAGUUUUUCUCUGGCUCGCCAUCAGGAAUCGGUGCUGGACUGCGGAUCGUCUGGCGAGGCGUGGCCUGCCACACCCGUCCAUGUGUCCGCUCUGUGACCAGGAAGAAGAAAAUAUCCAACACCUGCUUACUACGUGUGUCUUUUCCCGGGAGUUCUGGUUUAGAAUUCUAACGCCUAUGGGAUUCCAAGGCCGGGUCCCAAGCCGCCAUGAGAUUUCUUUUGCUGACUGGUGGAGAAAAGCAGUUAAAAAGGUCCCGAAAGAAACUAGGAAAGGCCUGAAUUCCACUAUUAUUUUGGGCGCCUGGGUUAUCUGGAAGCAUCGCAAUGCUUGCGUCUUUGAUGGUGCUCGACCUUGCAUAAACAGUCUCCUUCGGGCUUUCAGAGAUGAGCAACACCUUUGGUGUCUUGCUGGAGCUCGACGCCUGAGAACACUUGGUCAUGGUCUGGUUGGCGAGCUGGGUAAUCCUUAGCUUGUGGUUUCUAAUUUGUAGUAGGUCAGAUCUCGCCUCUAGGUGUGUGAGCUAUUGGAGUACAUCUUGAUCAUGUAUUUUUUUCAACCCCUCAUGGCUCGGCCCGGAAUGAGGUGGUGAAGAUUGUAAGGGGCCGGCUCUUCUCUCUUUAAUACAAUGAUACGAAGCUCUCCUUCGUAUUCGAGAAAAAAGAAAUAAGUGUUUUAUGUACAACUUUGAUAGUUAUACAUAUAUAUUGUUAAAAAGGUAGAAUUACUAUGCA